rnacentral:rRNA from 1 species
UACGGAGGGUGCAAGCGUUGUCCGGAUUUAUUGGGUUUAAAGGGUGCGUAGGCGGCCUUGUAAGUCAGUGGUGAAGCCCAUAGCUCAACUAUGGAACUGCCAUUGAUACUGCAAGGCUUGAGUACAGACGAGGUUGGCGGAAUGGAUGGUGUAGCGGUGAAAUGCAUAGAUACCAUCCAGAACUCCGAUUGCGUAGGCAGCUAACUAGGCUGUAACUGACGCUGAGGCACGAAAGCGUGGGGAGCAACAGG